CGGGGCGGGGACUCAAACGACGGUCCCGGGUCCGGCGCCGCCCCGCGCUGGGUCCUCCUCCUAAGUAGUCACCUCCAGCAGCUCAGGAAAGGAGGUCAGAUAGAGAAGAGGGGUGCUUUCGAAAACCGGAGAUAAAGUGCGGCGAUUGUGCGCGCCCCUGGAAUCCGGAGCCGGGGCUGGGAGGGGGCGGCCGGAGCCUCCUCUUCUCCCCGGGGCUUACCUCUGGCCCCACGCUGGACGCUCGGCCCCCUCCCGGCCUGCAGACUCACGGUCUCGACCUGUGUUCUCUGGGCGCCUCCGGAAGAUAUUCACAUCUCUGUCCCCGGCGCCUGGUCCCAGGCCAGCCAAGGCGCCGGGUCUGCCAGUUUGCUGAUAAUUAUUGUUACAAUAACAAAACCUAACAUUACUGAGCGCUUACUGUGUGCCCGGCACUCUGCUAAGUGCCUCGUCGACAGGCAAUAUCGCGUUCAGCCUCCACGACCGCCCUAGGAGGUAGGGGCUGGUCUCAUUCCCAUUUUACACGCGAGCCCCCGAGAGGCCUGCAGCCAGAUCUCUGGCUGCACCCCAGGCUCUCGACCACUCUACCCUGGGUUGUCUUCUCUUCUGUGCUGGAAGGAAAGUGAUUACUGAUCGUUAUUCAAAGAGAAGAGAAGUUCGUUGAUAACCGUCUUUGCCGACAGACCAAUGACACAUUUGAAAUGAAUAAAUAUGUAUUGAGACUACUGAGCCCUGAGCCCCUCACACUCCUCCCCCAAAUCAUGCCAGGGGCUGUGAAGGAGGCCACUGCGCUGUGUGGCCCUGGGCCUUUCCAGGGGCCUGUGGGCUGAGUCGCUGGAGAGAGGAGACCUGGAGGCCCUGCUGAGGCGAGCGGACAGGAGCCAGGCCAGGGGUCCCUGGGACCCUCUGGAGGAGCAGGACUGGCUCUUGCAGACCAUACACCAAGCCCCCAUGCAGAAAGACAGACAGGCUCUGGAGCUGCCGAAGGCCCUCCUGAGCUGAUGCCCUCAGCUGACACCCCGAAGUGCUGCCCAGAAGCCCCAAGCGCUGCACGAAUGGAGAGCAUUUGCUCAGAAUUGUUCUUAUAAAUUCACGCCCGAUUCGUGAGUUGCCAAAACAAAACCUAAAGCAGCUUUCUCCUAAAAGCAACUUUCACUUCACGAUCUCUCUCCUCCUGAUGUUAUGUUUGUCGUUUUUCCAACCAUUUCCAAGAGUACUUUCUUUCAACGCUCUCUGAGGAAAGGAGGAAAUGAGCAGAAGCCACAUCGUGUUACGGUCAGCCCCCAGGGAUCAGUGGGAGAGUCUGGUUCACUCGACUCUGGCGCUUCAAAAUAUUGAUUGACAAAAAAAUUGGAAGCAACUUAAAUGGUUAUCAGCAAGAUGGGGUCAGCUAGCCGGCACAGCAACCAGAGGGGCCAUCAGGGGACAGUGUGAAAGAGCCAUUACAGAGACCAUCCCCAUUAUGGUAAACAACCACCACCAUUAUGUAGCAACAUGAAAAUCAUGCUUGUGGGAUAAUUACGAGUGAAAAGAAGACAGGAAACUGUGCAUGCACUAUCCUUGCAACUGCAUGAAAAUAAAUAGAAAGUCUCCAGAUCAAAGACCCCAAAGAACCAUGCACGAAGGAAAUAGAUGUAUUAGGGUCAAGGCAUCGUGGCUGAUUUCUUCUCCUUAAUUUCCUAAAUAUUCUGUAAUAUGCUAUAUUGCCUUCAUAACUAAAACACACACACAGCUCUAUCUUUCAAGAAGGUAAUUCUUAUCUGAUCUCUAGAUCGGAAAGAUUUUUCUACACACAAAGCAUUGGAGGAUAUAUUGAAAUAAAAAAUGUUAGUUUGGGGAUGCAUAAAAAUUAAAAUAUUUUAAGUUCAAAAAAUACCAUUAACAUGUAGGAUCAAAGUUUGGAAGGAAAUGUUCCACAAAUGUUACUAUUAAGUCCAAAGGGUAGGAAUGUAGAUUUUUACUUUCUUCGUUAUGAUUUUCUAUAGAGUCUGAUUUUUUUACCAUGACACCCCAUUGUUUUUACACAGAAAAAUAAAUAAAUAAACAAAGCUAUUUCCCUUUUGAAAAGAAAUUUGACAUAAAAAAUUAAAUUGUAAGAAACUAGGGAAAUGAUUUUCAAAAUAAAAUAGAACCCUUACAACUCAUGAGAAAAACGUUAAGAUCCCAACCUAUAAAUGGCAAAUGGCACAAAUGGACGAGUCACAAAAUUGGAGAUUCUGAUGAUGACUAAAUAGGUUUUAAAAGUUCAGUCUUACUAGAAAAAAAAGGUCAUUAGAUCAGUGAGCUACUGUUCCCGCCCCCACUUUCAUCCAGUCAGCAAAUCGGUUUUCUUAAUUACAUUACUUAAAACCAGAGAGAUGGAUGCUCUCACAUACUGCUUCUGAGAGUGGAACAGACAGAAAAUUUCUGGAAAGCAAUCUUGCAAUAUGUAUUAAGAAUCAUCAAAAUAUCCAUAUUCUUCAACCCUAGAAUCCCAAAUCUAGGAAAUACUCAAAAUUUCAGCAAAGUCUUAAUCCCACAGGUGUUCAUCACAUUAUGAUAAUCCCAAACUGCAAGCAUGCCUUAGUUGCGAUCGAUCGUUGUCCAGGUGUGCUCCCUGCUCAGUCUCCCAGCAUUUCUGAGCACUGCUCGGUCCCAGUCCUGGGCUCAGCCCUACAGGAUCCGCAGUGGGGGCAGGGAAGCCCCUUCCGGGAGUGAGCCUGUGUGCGUGUGCAGGGCAGGAUGGGGUCUGGUAGGGGUUGGGCGAGGCCCUUUGAGGGAGGGAUGUUGAAGACCUGAUGUCAUGGGCCUUGACCAGAGAACAAGGGGAGUCUGCUGCCUGGAGGAGCCCUCAGAUAUCAGGGUGUGAAUAAACGAGCAGACAAGCAAAUACCCAAUGUGAUGUUGCCCUACUGCUCCUGCCCCUUGGCGCUCAGGCUUCCCAGUGCCUGCAUCCCUCCAGCUCUCCACAGGGAGACCCCGGGGGCGCAGCUGUCCAGCCCACCCCAC
rnacentral:lncRNA from 1 species